AGCGAACGCUGGCGGCAGGCCUAACACAUGCAAGUCGAGCGGCCCUUCGGGGCAGCGGCGGACGGGUGAGUAACGCGUGGGAACGUGCCUUUAGGUUCGGAAUAACUCAGGGAAACUUGUGCUAAUACCGAAUGUGCCCUUCGGGGGAAGAUUUAUCGCCUUUAGAGCGGCCCGCGUCUGAUUAGCUAGUUGGUGAGGUAAUGGCUCACCAAGGCUACGAUCAGUAGCUGGUCUGAGAGGAUGACCAGCCACAUUGGGACUGAGACACGGCCCAAACUCCUACGGGAGGCAGCAGUGGGGAAUCUUGCGCAAUGGGCGAAAGCCUGACGCAGCCAUGCCGCGUGGAUGAUGAAGGUCUUAGGAUUGUAAAAUCCUUUCACCGGUGAAGAUAAUGACUGUAGCCGGAGAAGAAGCCCCGGCUAACUUCGUGCCAGCCGCCGCCGUAAAAC
rnacentral:rRNA from 1 species